rnacentral:rRNA from 1 species
AAUGAACGCUGGCGGCAGGCCUAACACAUGCAAGUCGAACGACAGCUUCGUAUCUAGUUGCUCACGGGUGCGUCACGCGUCGGAACGUGCCGUUAUGCUCGGAAUACUACUGUUACAUUGGGGCUAAUACCGGAUAACGUCUGCUAAUAAAAGAUUUAUCGUACUGGUAUAGGCAGGCGUUGUUUUAGCUUGUUGGGGUGGUAAAGGCCGACCAAGGCGACGAUCCAUAGCUGGUAUGAGAGGCUGAUCAGCCACACUGGGACUGAGACACGGCCCAGAAUACUACGGGAGGCAGGAGUGGGUGAUCUUGGACAAUGGCGGAAAUCAUGAUGGAGUUAUGCCGGGUGAGUGAUGAAGGUCUGAGGGUUGUAAAGCUCUUUUACCCGAGAUGAUAAUGACAGUACCCGAAGAAUAAGCUCCGGCUAACUCCGUG